GACCUGCGGAAGGAUCAUUGUCGAAACCUGCCCAGCAGAACGACCCGCGAACGAGUUAUCAACACACCCGGAGGGGGCCGGGACGCCGCCGUGCGCCCGACCCCCUCCGAGCCGGGGCGAGCCAGACGGUCGCUCCCGCUCUCCGCCCCCGAGGCGGACGGGACGCCCGCUCUCCUCGCCCACGGCGCAACAACGAACCCCCCCGGCGCGAAUCGCGCCAAGGAAACGCAAAGAAAAAGGGCGCGUCGCCCGUCGCCGCCCCGUCCGCGGUGCGCGCGCGCACGGCCUCGCGUCCCCUUUCCUGUGAAAUCUAAAACGACUCUCGGCAACGGAUAUCUCGGCUCUCGCAUCGAUGAAGAACGUAGCGAAAUGCGAUACUUGGUGUGAAUUGCAGAAUCCCGUGAACCAUCGAGUCUUUGAACGCAAGUUGCGCCCCAAGCCGUUAGGCCGAGGGCACGCCUGCCUGGGUGUCACGCAUCGUCGCUCCCCCCCAACGACCCCCCACCCUCUAGGGCUCGGGGCGAACAAGGGGGACGGAAAAUGGCCUCCCGUGCGCCCACCGCUCGCGGUUGGCCCAAAUGCGAGUCCUCGGCGACGGCAUCGCCGCGACGAUCGGUGGUAACGCCUGCUCGGCUUCCCUCGUCGCGAGCGCCCGUCAUCCGUCCGGACCCCCUUUCGAGACCCUGAGCGCGUCGCCCCGUGCGACGCUCGCGCCGCGACCCCAGGUCAGGCGGGAUGCCCA
rnacentral:rRNA from 1 species